GACGAACGCUGGCGGCGUGCUUAACACAUGCAAGUCGAACGGAAAGGCCCUGCUUUUGUGGGGUGCUCGAGUGGCGAACGGGUGAGUAACACGUGAGUAACCUGCCCUUGACUUUGGGAUAACUUCAGGAAACUGGGGCUAAUACCGGAUAGGAGCUCCUGCUGCAUGGGGGGGGUUGGAAAGUUUCGGCGGUUGGGGAUGGACUCGCGGCUUAUCAGCUUGUUGGUGGGGUAGUGGCUUACCAAGGCUUUGACGGGUAGCCGGCCUGAGAGGGUGACCGGCCCCAUUGGGACUGAGAUACGGCCCAGACUCCUACGGGAGGCAGCAGUGGGGAAUAUUGCACGCUGGGCGGAAGCCUGAUGCAGCAACGCCGCGUGCGGGAUGACGGCCUUCGGGUUGUAAACCGCUUUCGCCUGUGACGAAGCGUGAGUGACGGUAAUGGGUAAAGAAGCACCGGCUAACUACGUG
rnacentral:rRNA from 1 species